rnacentral:rRNA from 1 species
UACGAAGGGUGCAAGCGUUAAUCGGAAUUACUGGGCGUAAAGCGCGCGUAGGUGGUUCAGCAAGUUGGAUGUGAAAGCCCUGGGCUCAACCUGGGAACUGCAUCCAAAACUACUGAGCUAGAGUACGGUAGAGGGUAGUGGAAUUUCCUGUGUAGCGGUGAAAUGCGUAGAUAUAGGAAGGAACACCAGUGGCGAAGGCGGCCACCUGGACAGUAACUGACGCUGGGGCGCGAAAGUGUGGGUAGCAAACAGGAUUAGAAACCCGAGUAGU